rnacentral:rRNA from 1 species
ACAUGCAAUUCGAGGGGUAUGGUUCUUCGGAACCAGAGACCGGCGCACGGGUGCGUAACGCGUAUGCAAUCUACCUUUCACAGAGGGAUAGCCCAGAGAAAUUUGGAUUAAUACCUCAUAGUAUAUAGACUUGGCAUCAAAAUUAUAUUAAAGAUUUAUCGGUGAAAGAUGAGCAUGCGUCCCAUUAGCUAGUUGGUAUGGUAACGGCAUACCAAGGCUACGAUGGGUAGGGGUCCUGAGAGGGAGAUCCCCCAACUGGUACUGAGACACGGACCANACUCCUACGGGAGGCAGCAGUGAGGAAUAUUGGACAAUGGGCGCAAGCCUGAUCCAGCCAUGCCGCGUGCAGGAUGACGGUCCUAUGGAUUGUANACUGCUUUUAUACAGGAAGAAACACUGGUUCGUGAACCAGCUUGACGGUACUGUAAGAAUAAGGAUCGGCUAACUCCGUGCCAGCAGCCGCGGUAAUACGGAGGAUCCAAGCGUUAUCCGGAAUCAUUGGGUUUAAAGGUCCGUAGGCGGUCAGAUAAGUCAGUGGUGAAAGCCCAUCGCUCAACGGUGGAACGGCCAUUGAUACUGUCUGACUUGAAUUAUUAGGAAGUAACUAGAAUAUGUAGUGUAGCGGUGAANUGCUUAGAGAUUACUUGGAAUACCAAUUGCNAAGGCAGGUUACUACUAAUAUAUUGACCCUGAUGGACGAAA